rnacentral:rRNA from 1 species
UUGAGCGAUUUACUUCGGUAAAGAGCGGCGGACGGGUGAGUAACGCGUGGGUAACCUACCCUGUACACACGGAUAACAUACCGAAAGGUAUGCUAAUACGGGAUAAUAUAUUUGAGAGGCAUCUCUUGAAUAUCAAAGGUGAGCCAGUACAGGAUGGACCCGCGUCUGAUUAGCUAGUUGGUAAGGUAACGGCUUACCAAGGCGACGAUCAGUAGCCGACCUGAGAGGGUGAUCGGCCACAUUGGAACUGAGACCCGGUCCAAACUCCUACGGGAGGCAGCGGUGGGGAAUAUUGC